GACGAACGCUGGCGGCGUGCCUAAUACAUGCAAGUAGAACGCUGAAGGAGGAGCUUGCUCUUCUGGAUGAUUUGCGAACGGGUGAGUAACGCGUAGGUAACCUGCCUGUUAGCGGGGGAUAACUAUUGGAAACGAUAGCUAAUACCGCAUAAGAUUAGAUGUUGCAUGACAUUUACUUAAAAGGUGCAAUUGCAUCACUACCAGUUGGUCCUGCGUCGUAUUAUGAAGUUGGUGGGGUAACGGCUUCACAAGGGGACGAUACAUAGCCGACCUGGGAGGGGGAACCGCCACCAUGGGACUGAGGAACCGGCCAGACUUCUGAGGGAAGGAGCAGUAGGGGAUCUUCGGGAAAGGGGCGAAGUCUGGACGGGCAAAGGCGGGUGAGUGAAGGAGGUUCUCGGAUCGUAAAGCUCUGUUGUAAGGGGAGAACGAGAGGGGGAGUGGAAAGUUCACGCUGUGACGGUAUCUAACCAGAAAGCGACGGCUAACUACGUG
rnacentral:rRNA from 1 species